GACGAACGCUGGCGGCGUGCUUAACACAUGCAAGUCGAACGGAAAGGCCCUUCUUUUGUGGGGUGCUCGAGUGGCGAACGGGUGAGUAACACGUGAGUAACCUGCCCUUGACUUUGGGAUAACUUCAGGAAACUGGGGCUAAUACCGGAUAGGAGCUCCUGCUGCAUGGUGGGGGUUGGAAAGUUUCGGCGGUUGGGGAUGGACUCGCGGCUUUUCAGUUUGUUGGUGGGGUAGGGUCUUACCAAGGCGUUGACGGGUAGCCGGCCUGAGAGGGUGGCCGGCCACAUUGGGACUGAGAUACGGCCCAGACGCAUACGGGAGGCAGCAGUGGGGAAUAUUGCAAAAUGGGCGGAAGCCUGAUGCAGCAACGCCGCGUGCGGGAUGACGGCCUUCGGGUUGUAAACCGCUUUCGACUGUGACGAAGCGUGAGUGACGGUAAUGGGUAAAGAAGCACCGGCUAACUACGUG
rnacentral:rRNA from 1 species